UAUAAUAUUUAAAUAGUUUAAGAAAAAUAUUAGUUUGUGGAACUAAAGAUAUAUAUUUAUUGUUUUAAAUU
rnacentral:tRNA from 1 species